UACGUAGGGGGCAAGCGUUGUCCGGAUUUACUGGGCGUAAAGAGCGUGUAGGCGGCCAAGCAGGUCCGUUGUGAAAACUGGAGGCUUAACCUCCAGACGUCGACGGAAACCGCGUGGCUAGAGUCCGGAAGAGGAGAGUGGAAUUCCUGGUGUAGCGGUGAAAUGCGCAGAUAUCAGGAAGAACACCCGUGGCUAAGGCGGCUCUCUAGUACGGUACUGACGCUGAGGAGCGAAAGCAUGGGGAGCGAACAGG
rnacentral:rRNA from 1 species